rnacentral:rRNA from 1 species
GACGAACGCUGGCGGCGUGCUUAACACAUGCAAGUCGAACGGAAAGGCCUUUUCGGAGGUACUCGAGUGGCGAACGGGUGAGUAACACGUGGGUGAUCUGCCCUGCACUCUGGGAUAAGCCUGGGAAACUGGGUCUAAUACCGGAUAGGACCGCACAUUAGUGUGUGUGGUGGAAAGUUUUUUCGGUGUAGGAUGAGCCCGCGGCCUAUCAGCUUGUUGGUGGGGUAAUGGCCUACCAAGGCGGCGACGGGUAGCCGGACUGAGAGGUUGGUCGGCCACAGUGGGACUGAGAUACGGCCCAGACUCCUACGGGAGGCAGCAGUGGGGAAUAUUGCACAAUGGGCGCAAGCCUGAUGCAGCGACGCCGCGUGGGGGAUGACGGCCUUCGGGUUGUAAACUCCUUUCGCCAGGGACGAAGCGUUUUGUGACGGUACCUGGAGAAGAAGCACCGGCUAACUACGUG